rnacentral:rRNA from 1 species
ACGGGAGGCAGCAGUGAGGAAUAUUGGUCAAUGGGCGAGAGCCUGAACCAGCCAAGUAGCGUGAGGGAUGACUGCCCUACGGGUUGUAAACCUCUUUUGUUUGGGAAUAACAGGGGCUACGCGUAGCCCUGUGCAUGUACCUUUCGAAUAAGCAUCGGCUAAUUCCGUGCCAGCAGCCGCGGUAAUACGGAAGAUGCGAGCGUUAUCCGGAUUUAUUGGGUUUAAAGGGAGCGUAGGCGGCCUUUUAAGUCUGCGGUCAAAUGUCAGGGCCCAACCUUGGCAUGCCGUGGAUACUGAUGGGCUUGAAUACACGCAAGGCAAGUGGAAUUCGUCGUGUAGCGGUGAAAUGCUUAGAUAUGACGAAGAACUCCGAUUGCGAAGGCAGCCUUCUGGAGUGCGAUUGACGCUGAGGCUCGAAAGCGCGGGUAUCAAACAGGAUUAGAUACCCUGGUA